UAACAUGCUUUAUAUACAUGCAAAAGGAAAAUUGAAUUAUAUCUACUAAGCAUUAAAUAUCCCCAACCAUGAAGGCAAUUCUUAUUGCAUUCUUACUGUUGCCCUAUGUGGCUUUCGUUCCCAGUUCAACUCUAGCUCGAGAACCGAAGGAGGCAGUGACUAUUCCGAUUGGGCUCGGUAAUCCUCCUUUUAUUAGAUGUGACCCUACUAAUAAUGGCUAUGGAAGGUGUGGCGGGUUAAAACAGUCACCACCACCAUCAAAACCAUCUUUAUGUUCUACUGUAGGUGGAUAUAAAAAAUGCUCCCCAUCGCAGCCGCCACCACCACCAUGUGAAAAAUAUAUACGUAAUUGCUGACGAACAUCUAAUUGAGAUAUCGAAAGAUAUCCGAUUGAGGGGAAAAGCUAUGUAUCCUAAACCCAAAAAGAAUGCCAAGCAUCUAAUUGUUGGUGCCACAUCUUUUUAACACUAUUGCUGUGUUACAUGGUGGUAUCAUCAUCUCUGUAUUUUACUUUAGAUUUCCGUGUGGUGUGGUUGCAUAGGAAGUGUGUUUUUCCUGUUUGUAGUUGUAAUAAUCUUAUCAUUUUGUGA